ensembl:lncRNA
GGAUGGAGUGGGGAGGAGGUGAAGGGGUUGGGAGCUUCCAGAGGAGGCUGCAUUUCUCAGCGCUUUGUUCUUUUCUUCUGCUCACACAAUACCUCACACAAUACCAGAUAACUCAAUGGGAUUUGGUGCAGAAAGAAAGAUCCGUCAAGCUGGUGUGAUUGACUAACCACCAGUUUUAACACCUUCCUCGUGUUAUGUUUAAAAAAAUAAAUAAAUUUAAGAAAACCAUUUUAAAAUUAUGCACAGUUGCAGCCUGGAAAACUUAAGGUGGCGCCUUAUAGUAUCAAUUUUAGGAGCUUUAUUUGGUGCAUUUAACGCAACUGGUAAUUGCAAAAUCCACUUCGCCUGUGUAAGAGAAAAAUAUAGACUGUUAACUUGUUGGCCCUAUGAAAUUCUGCACUUGAUGUUUAGUAUAUACUCUACCUUCAUUACUUCUGGCAAGAUUUCUGCCUUAGCACUCAGUUGCAUUCUUUUUCCUUUUCUGUUUAUUAUGCUUUAAUUCUGAGGACCAUAUGAGGGUAGAAUAUAUUAAAAAUUACCAAAAUUUGUAUAGGCAAACCAUUUCCUUAAGUUGAUGGCCAAAUGUUAAAAUGUUAUUUUUCAUAUCAUUUAUAAUCUUGUCACAGUCCACUUAAUGAAGUUUGGUUAGAUUUCAGUGAAAAGUAUCUUCCAGAGUAGUUUUUUUUUUUUUUUUUCCUGGCGUGGGGGGUGGGUAACUUUACUACAAUUAGUAUGUAUGGUGCAGAAUUUCAUGCAAAUGAGGUGUGCCAGCAGUGUGAUAAUUUAAACGUAUUUAAACAAAAACAAAAAGACGAAUGCACAAACUUGCUGCUGCUUAGAUCACUGCAGCUUAUAGGACCCAGUUUCUUUUACUGAUUUCAAAACAAAACAAAAGAAAAAAUAAUAAAAAAGUUGUGCCUGAAAUGAAUCUUGUUUCUUUUAUAAGUAGCCGCCUGGUUCCUGUGUCCUGUAAAAACAGGCACUUGACCCUUGGUGUAGCUUCUGUUCGACUUUUUAUCACGGGAACGGAU